AAGAGACAGCUGACGUGCCUGGGAGCCGAGCACGAGUGAGCAGGGGAGGGUCAGUGAGGAGGAAACCGACAGGGAUGCUGCUGGUCCUUCUCGCUAAGAAUUCCUAAAUCCGCUUCCUCCUUCUCGGGUCCUCGGCCGGUGCAUCUCAAUAGGCGGUCCCGCCGGUUGUGCUGGGCUGCGAGGAGAUGUCCCCUUCUCCACGUAGCCAUUUAGCACGGCUCACUGACCCUGCGGGCCAGCCUGGGGCUGGGAACUGCCUCUGUCCCACCGUGGGGACAGGCCGACCCUGCAGGCAAAGGACAAGCAGCUGCGAAGAUUGUCCCGGGGCAGGGUCCCAGCACCGCUGCUGCGGAUUAGUUUGCCGGUCCCUGAAGUGUGGGUGUCUGCCUCAGGCUCCCCGGAGCAGCGUGCCCCCUGACACAGCCUUCCCAGGCUCCUCCCUAGGAAGGUGUCCUUGUUCACCUGGAACUGCAACUCCUGCAGCAACCUGCGUGGCCACUUUUGAGAAUUCCCUGCAUGAUUUGAAAGCUAUUUGCAAAUAGAAGGAGGAAGGUGGAACUGCGGCUUCGGACCGCUCAGGACUGAGAAUUCAAUAGACGUGACCCCAGGACAGUGUCAGCAAGAGUGUGGGCUCUGAUUGUCUUUUUUCUUUCAGUCUGGGCUAUUUUCAAGGGCUUUCAGUGAUGCACUGAAAACCACUGCUGUUAAUUCCAUCUGGUGUGUCUUCCCAUUGAUUUAGGUU
ensembl:lncRNA